rnacentral:lncRNA from 1 species
AGGUAAACAAAGCAAAGUAGAAGUGAAAGUGGAGACGAUAGUUGUGAAUAGACCCAAGGGCCGUAGUGUUCACUAGUGGCUUCUCUCAUGAAAGCAAGUAGACGGUGGGUGAACGAAUUACUGUUGAGCAAUUGAUAGAAGUGCGCAAAGUUGUGACGUUAUCUAAGGCAAUGAUUGUAUCUAUAGGCAUCACGUCCAAAACAAGUAGACCGAUACUUUCUCCAUCUACUACUAUAACUCCACACGUCGACCGCUAUCCAACAUGCAUCUAGUGUAUUAAGUCCAAAAGAACAGAGUAACGCCUUAAGCAAGAUGACAUGAUGUAGAUGGACAAUCUCAAAUCUAUGAUGAAAGCCAUAUUGUUACCCUUGAUGGAAACAACACGAUGCGGGCCUUGCUACCCCUUCUGUCACUGGGAAAGGUCACCACACGGUAUGAACCCAAAACCAAGCACUUGUCCCAUUGCAAGAAUCAUAGGUCUA